UAAUAAAUGCUGGGGUGCCUUUUGGCUGAGAUUAUACCCAUUGAACCUGAUCUAAUUAGUAUUAGUGUAGGGAGAUUCUGGAUAAUAAAA
rnacentral:ncRNA from 1 species